rnacentral:rRNA from 1 species
AUGGGGAGGAAGCUAGGGCUGGACAGGGUGAUGGACUGCUUCUCGCUCUCCGUGUGCGCCAACGCUUGCGUCUGCGUGCACGCGGUGGAGGACGAGGACGAGGAGAACGAGGGGAAGGCCCUGGUGAGCGCUCAGCUGGACGAGCUGCUCAAGCUCAAGGACUUCGGCGGUGGGGCUAAGACUCUUGCUUUCCAUCUAGAGCCAAAGACGGUGGAGCUGAGGGUGUCUAUGCACUGCUACGGAUGCGCCAGGAAAGUUCAGAAGCACAUCUCCAAGAUGGAAGGUGUGUCGUCGUUUGAGGUGGAUUUGGAGAAGAAGAAGGUGGUCGUGACGGGGGACGUGACGCCCUACGAGGUGCUGCAGAGCGUCUCCAAGGUGAUGAAGUUUGCGGAGCUGUUGGUGGCCCCCAACUCCCCGACUCCGAGUAGAUAG